rnacentral:rRNA from 1 species
CCUACGGGCGGCAGCAGUGGGGAAUAUUGGACAAUGGGCGAAAGCCUGAUCCAGCCAUGCCGCGUGUGUGAAGAAGGCCUUCGGGUUGUAAAGCACUUUCAGUGGGGAAGAAAGCCUUGGGGCUAAUACCCUCGAGGAAGGACAUCACCCACAGAAGAAGCACCGGCUAACUCCGUGCCAGCAGCCGCGGUAAUACGGAGGGUGCGAGCGUUAAUCGGAAUUACUGGGCGUAAAGCGCGCGUAGGCGGUCUGAUAAGCCGGUUGUGAAAGCCCCGGGCUCAACCUGGGAACGGCAUCCGGAACUGUCAGGCUAGAGUGCAGGAGAGGAAGGUAGAAUUCCCGGUGUAGCGGUGAAAUGCGUAGAGAUCGGGAGGAACACCAGUGGCGAAGGCGGCCUUCUGGACUGACACUGACGCUGAGGUGCGAAAGCGUGGGUAGCAAACAGGAUUAGAUACCCCAGUAGUC